ACAGGGACUCCAAACCAAACCAGAAUCCCAGCGAUUUCGCAACGAAUUCGUUGAAUCCUUGACCCCUACGUCACGAAAUCCCUUUAUAUAAACUCCCGCAUCGUUCCCUCUCCGUUUUUUCAAAAAUCGCAACUCUAGAUCACCGAAAAUUCGAUUUCCGAUCUCGCCGGAGUUUCGCCGCUUCGAACUUGAACUGGAGGUCCCAGGACCUUCCUGCCUCCACGAUUCUCUCUAAAUCCUCACCCCUUUUUCCGUCGCACAGGACCACGGGAACGAACAGACGAGGACGUCGGAAUUUCGCCGGGCUUCAUCGUUUUCAGCCGGAGAUACACGCCGUUUGGGACAAGGAGGAUCGCUGACAAGGACGGGAAGAAGAUCACCACGUCGAGCCGCACCUCGUCAUCACCUUCAGAGUCGGAGGCAACCACGCCGUCGUUGCCAUCCACAACGUCGCCGCGUCCUUCGUCCGCCGAGCACCACAUCUGAGAUGCACAUGUUGAGAUGGAUAUGUGGCCACACAAGAAAGGAUCGGGUACGGAACGACGAUAUACGGGAGAGAGUUGGGGUAGCACCGAUUGAAGAGAAGCUGGUCCAACAUCGUCUCAGAUGGUUUGGACAUAUCCAACGGAGGCCUCCGGAAGCGCCGGUGCAUAGCGGACGGAUAAAGCGUGAUGAGAAUGUUAAGAGGGGUCGUGGUAGAUCAAACUUGACAUGGGAGGAGUCCGUUAAGAGAGACCUGAAGGUUUGGAAUAUCGACAAAGAUUUAACAAUGGAUAGAGGUGCGUGGAAGUUAGCUAUCCACGUUUCGGAACCAUGACUUUGCUUCGAGAUCUUAUGGGUUUCAACUCUAGCCUACCCCAACAUGUUUGGGACUGAAAGGCUUGGUUGUUGUUGUUGUUGCUGUAAGUUAAAAUUUGGAAUUCAAAUCCCGUGUUAGCUA